rnacentral:rRNA from 1 species
AUGCCGUGGUUAGUAGCAGGAGAUUUUAAUGAAAUCCUUUAUGGCCAUGAAAAACAGGGAGGUAAAAUAAGAGCACAGGGGCUUAUGGAUAAUUUUAAAGAAACGCUAAAGGAGUGUGAAUUAACAGACCUGGGAUUUGAAGGCGACAUGUUCACUUGGAAGGAAGGCUAUAUAAGGGAAAGGCUAGAUAGAGCUAUAGCCAAUUCCAGUUGGAGGAAUAGGUUUUCAGAGGGGAAAGUCAUAAACGGUGAUCCAUACCACUCAGACCAUCGUCCUAUUAUCAUUCUCACUGAAAACCAGCUCGAAAACCAAAAAAGAGGGUUUGGAGAGAUAAUUUCAAAUUUGAAGCAAACUGGCUCCUAG